rnacentral:tRNA from 1 species
UGGGUUGCUAACUCAAUGGUAGAGUACUCGGCUUUUAACCGACGCGUUCCGGGUUCGAGCCCCGGGCAACCCA